rnacentral:misc_RNA from 1 species
AGUCAGUCGUCGAUCAAUCAUCAGUCGUAGUAACACUGCCGGUUUGACGACAGAGUGAGCGGCAAGAGGUUGUUGACUAAAAUCAGUGAUUUUGUCUUCCUUUUUCCUUCCUUUAUUUUUUUCUCAGUGUCGACAAUGGCGAGCGGUUACGUCUCUCUUUCUCGUCCGUUCUUCUUUUUACUACUGUCGACUUUCUGUAUUGCACUUAACAGCAAUAUUCGUGUUUGGCCUUUACCACGAAAAAUAAACAGCUCCUCGACUCCACUGCAAAUUCAUCCGUACAGCUUCACGUUCACUGCAACAUCCGAAUCUUGCGAUGUUUUAGAUUCCAGCUUCAAGAGAUGGUGGAAGAGAACUUUUAUCAAUUUAGAACCCCGUUUGAAAAAAACUUUCCAAUAUGAAACUAGUCAGUUUGAUGUUCUCUCUAACUUGAAUGUGAACGUUCGUCAAUCAUGCAACGGUGGGAUGUACCCUUCACUUCAAUCAGACGAGUCUUAUCUGCUUGUGAUCAAAGCUGAUGGUGCAUCAACAUUAGUUGCUACUACAGUUUGGGGUGCACUCCAUGGCUUGGAAACAUUUAGCCAACUUGUAUAUGAAACUGAAAGUGGAACGUUUCUCAUCAACGAGACCGUAGUAGAAGAUAAACCCAGAUUUAAGCACAGAGGUAUUUUGCUUGAUACAUCAAGACAUUUUCUUAGUAAAGAAAAAAUCCUUGAAAACCUGGAAAUCAUGUCACAGAACAAAUUCAAUGUGUUCCAUUGGCACAUUGUUGAUGAUCAGUCAUUUCCAUACCAGAGUUUUUACUUCCCAGAACUCAGCAAUAAAGGAGCAUUCAACCCAUUGACACAUAUUUACACCCAGUCUGAUGUAAAGGAGAUCGUUGAAUAUGCUCGUUUGCGAGGCAUUAGAGUGGUGCCAGAAUUCGAUACACCAGGCCAUACUUUAUCCUGGGGUAAAUCUCACAAAGAACUUCUUACUCCAUGUUACCAAUAUUCAUCUGAGAAUGGUAAAUAUGGUCCUGUCAAUCCAAUUUUGAAUUCUACAUAUGCCUUUAUGAAGAAGUUUAUUUAUGAAAUUAGCAUGAUGUUUCCUGAUAAAUAUUUCCAUGCUGGGGGAGAUGAGGUUAACUUUGAUUGUUGGAAAAGCAAUCCUAAUAUUACUAAAUUCAUGGAAAAAAUGAAAUUUGGAACAUCUUAUUAUAAGUUAGAACAAUACUAUAUGGAGAAAUUAUUAGACAUUGUUGCAUAUUACCAUAAACACUAUAUGAUCUGGCAAGAAGUCAUUGAUAACAAAGCUACAGUUCAAAAUGAUACUGUGGUACAUGUCUGGAAAAGUGGCUACAAGAACGAAUUAGCAAAAGUUACAAGCCUGGGUUAUCAAGCACUACUUUCCUCAUGCUGGUAUCUUAACUAUAUUUCUUAUGGAUCUGACUGGCAACGAUAUUAUACUUGUGAUCCUCAAGAUUUUUCUGGUUCUGCUCAACAGAAAGAACUGGUAAUUGGAGGUGAAGCAUGUAUGUGGGGAGAAUAUGUUGAUGGUACCAACCUUACUCCAAGACUUUGGCCAAGAGCAUCAGCUGUUGCUGAACGUUUAUGGAGUGAUGCUAGUGUAAAAAAUAUAGCUUCUGCAGAGACUCGCUUAGAAUUUCAUAGAUGUCGACUUUUAAAGCGUGGUGUUCCAGCUGAACCUUUGGGUCCAGGUUACUGCCCUAAAGAAAUGUAGAACAUUUACUGACAAUAUCUAAUGGAUAACUUUUGAUACUUUACUCUUCAACACUUUACUAUUAUAAGAAUGAAAAACAAAUAGAACAAAAGUAUUUUGAUUAAUUUAAGUCGGUUUCAUGUUCAUCACAUUUAUUUUCCAUUUCUCUAAAAUAUAAUGACUUUAUGAAUUGGCAAUGAGAAACCAAUAUUUGUUUGACUCAAAGAAGACAACACUUGUAUUGAAACAUUGACUCUAUAUCAUUCCUAUGUAAGGUUUAAAACUUAUCAAGAAGUGUUUUAUUUGUCUUACAAGCUAAAUACUCCUUGUCUCUGAUUUUUCAGUCAGUUCCAAAUUGUAUUAAAAUAAAUUGGAAAUCUGUCAAACACCACCAACACUGUUUAGAUUCUCAUGGAAAUUAUAUAUUACAAUACUUUAAAUGAUUCCUAUUCAAUUUUUC